UGCAUGGCUUAGUUAUAUGUUGGAAGUGUGUGAGACUCCUAAUUUCAGGGUUGUGGGUUCAAGCCCCACACAGGGCAA